rnacentral:rRNA from 1 species
CAACGAGAGACUCGGUGAAAUCAUAGUACCUGUGAAGAAGCAGGUUACCCGCGACAGGACGGAAAGACCCCGUGGAGCUUUACUGUAGCCUGAUAUUGAAAUUAGGCACAGCUUGUACAGGAUAGGUAGGAGCCUUUGAAACGUGAGCGCUAGCUUACGUGGAUGCGCUGGUGGGAUACUACCCUAGCUGUGUUGGCUUUCUAACCCGCACCACUUAGCGUGGUGGGAGACAGUGUCAGGCGGGCAGUUUGACUGGGGCGGUCGCCUCCUAACAGGUAACGGAGGAGCUCCAAGGUUCCCUCAGAAUGGUUGGAAAUCAUUCAUAGAGUGUAAAG